GACCUUCUUCCCCAAAAAAGAAGAACCACCAUUUUCUUCUUUCAAGUUAACCUUGUAGAGAGAUUUCAAGUGAUAGCUGCAAAAUCUUGAAAGGAAAGGGUUAAGUUGGGAUGAAGAUGGAAGUGUGCUGAGCUGGAGCUUUUUGUUUAUGUAAAUAGUAAUAGGCUCAGGAUGUUGUGUCUUCAUACAUAACGUCCAAUGAUGUACUCCGCUGCAACACUUUAAUUCUCUUAUCACUUUUGACGUGUUGUAGAACGUUUUAAAACCUUAACCUGUAUAUGAGCUUGACGAAUCUUGGUUAUGAUGUUUAUUUGGUUUAAACUUCUUUUGUUAAAGUUUGAUGGUGACGAACCUCUUGAGAUUCAUUGAUUAUAUAUGUGAGUUGUUAAUUAUUUAUU